rnacentral:rRNA from 1 species
AUUGAACGCUGGCGGCAGGCCUAACACAUGCAAGUCGAACGAGUGGCGGACGGGUGCGUAAUGUCUGCGAAACUGCCUGCUGGAGGGGAUAACUACUGGAAAAGGUAGCUCAUACCGCAUACCAUCAGAUGUGUCCAGAUUGGAUUAGCUAGUUGGUGGGGUAACGGCUUACCAAGGCGACAAUCCAUAGCUGGUCUGAGAGGAUGACCAGCCACAAUGGAACUGAGACACGGUCCAGACUCCUACGGGAGGCAGCAGUGGGGAAUAUUGCACAAUGGGCGCAAGCCUGAUGCAGCCAUGCCGCGUGUGUGAAGAAGGCCUUCGGGUUGUAAAGUACUUUCAGCGGGGAGGCGUUACCCGCAGAAGAAGCACCGGCUAACUCCGUGCCAGCAGCCGCGGUAAUAC